UUACGGUCAAAACACGCUGAAAACACCGGUUCUCGUUCGAUCACCGAAGUUAAGCAUCGUAGAGCCAGGUCAGUACUUAGAUGGGGGACAGCUUGGAAACACCUGGUACUGUAAG
rnacentral:rRNA from 1 species